UGGCCCUGCUGCGCUGCACGCCCCGCGCCGCCCUCCCCCGAAACCGCGGCCGGGCUCCGGGAGCCCCCGGUCUGGGUCUUCUCGCGGUGAGUCCUUGUCCUCCCGGGCGCCGCGGGAUGCUGUGCCGCGCCGUCUCCCCCUCUGGGGCCGCGAUGGUGCGUCCCGCUCCUCGGCGGCUCCCCCGCCCGCCGGAGCUUUGCGAAAGUCCCGGAGUUGGGGAGUUGGGUGCUAACUGGUGCGGGCGGCGCGCCGGGGAGCUGGGAGCUGGUGUACGCCAGCCGGACGCCCUGGGACCCCAGCGUCCGGCCCGGCCACCUCUGACGCGGACUGCUGCUGAGAGUUUUCGACCUCCCGGGGAUGUGCAGAUGAUGGGCGAGCUCGGCCAGGAGCUCAGAGCCUGCACCCCGGGAGUAGGGGCUCCCCACUCGCUCCCUCCCCCCGGGACCUGCAGAUCUCCCGCUUUGACCCCUGUACUCUCAGCCGGAAAAUGGGGCCACAGCUGUGCUCCCUGCACACUGUUCCACUGGCGGGGCCCGCCUUUCUUCCUUCCCGAGACCUAGGACGUUAGGUGUGAACGCCCUCUGUAAACUGGAGAGUGCCGCCUGUCUGCUGUCCCUGCAAACCCACGUGGAGGUGACAGACCCUCUCCGCGGGACCUUUUCUCGCGCCAGCCCAGCCCCCUGCGUCCGAAUGUUUUCCUGACGGACGCAGCGCUCGGAGUCUGUGCCCCGCAGCCCCUGGACUUUUUCUCUCUCCCGUGCGGCCACUCAGCAGACCAUCAGCCUAACACGACCCGGCGCCCCGCUCCGGAGGAAGUGAAGGCAGACCCAGGCUUGCCAGCUGGGAGCUGAAACAUUAGGCACGUGAUCCGCCAGACGAGGUAACGCGCGUAAAAUCGGGGUUCCUGGGCGCGGUGUGGGCCACUGCCACGGAGAAGGCGACGUCUUCCCCUGGAGCGCGCAGAGCUCCUCGCUUGACUGCCUCCUCCCUGUUGCACGGGAACCCGAAGCUCGAAUUCGCUGCCCUCCUCGCUGCCACUCCCCCACUGGCGCCCUGCUUAUUCUCUGCUUUUCCCGCCCAGGCACAGACCUCAGUGGGUAGUCACUCCCUGCCCCCAGCCGGCGAGCUGAGGUCUCUUGCUCCCAGUUCUGCCGGCCCCAGGCUGAGUGGUGAGUGCUCCGUUUUCUGGAACUGUCAUCUUUUGCAAGCUUUCAAGCUGAGCUCCAGGUCCAGUUCAAGGCUGAUGAGACCUGUGCCCCUCGCCGCCCUCUCCUGCCUUCUGUCCGCCUGCCCAGUGGCUGACACUGUGUUUUCCUUUAGGUUGGCCACGCAGAUCCUUCCCCGCAGCAAACCGUCUCCUCUUCAUCUAAUUCUAGAAGGCUUUUUCACCCUCCAGGUCUUGUUGAAUUGCCACCCCCUUCACAAGAUCCUUAAAAAUCCUCCUCAGGAGUUGCUUGCUUGCUUUGGAUUUCUAUCCAAGUAGUGUUUAGCCAGCCCUUCAAAUCCCGGUGCCUACUCAACUCUCUCCAGUGGCUUCUGACCUGCCACCGGUUCCCUACAAGGAACCACUGGAUUCUGCAUUGACAGAUAUGCUCAGUCCUGAUCCCUUCCUCUCUCAGCAGGCUAGACCCGUUCUCCCUUGCUUCCACCUAGAAUUCCAAUUCUAUUUUUAGGUUCUAGCCUUAUGCCUUAAAAAAAAAUGAUUUUACUGUGUUAACAUAUACAUAAAUCUGAACGUUCUACGCAUCUGUAAGUGUUGGUCUCAUAGCAUUAAGUACAUUCUCGUUCUUAUGCACACCAACCACACCUUUCUCCUCCUCCCAAACUGAAAUUCCAUAUCCACUAAACACCAACUCCUCAUUCCUGCCCUCCUCCAACUGCUGGCAUCCACGGUUAUUUUUUGCUUGGUGAAUUUGACCUAUUCCAGGUAUCUCAUGUAAGUGGAACUGUAUGUUCGCUCUUUUGUGCCUGGCUUAUUUUACUUAUAAUAGUUUCAGAAUUCAUCCGUGUUGUAGCAUGGAUCAGAACACCACUCCCUUUUAAGACUGUAUGAUACUCCAUUAUAUGUAUACACCAUGCUUUGUUUAUCCUUCCUUCCACGGGCAUUUGGGUUGUUUCUAGCUUUUGGCCAUUGUGAGUAAUUUUGCUGUGAAUAGCCUGUGUCUUUCAUAUGCAGCAGUAGAUCUACAGUAUUUAUGUAAUUAGGUAAUACUGCAAAAUUCUUUUCUGGGCUUCAUGACCCUGAGCACAAUGCCAAUAAACAGAGUGACUGGAAUGAUCCUUUUGUAAACCAAGGUUCACUGCCCUGCUCUUGCUCAUUUAUGGUUUCCCAGCACAUUAAAAUAAUCUAGCAAAGUCCUUACUACAGCCUUCGAGGCCUGCAUGAUCAGACCUGACUUCUAGCUUUUGCCUUUGCUCUUUGCCUUCUGUCACAAUGGUCUUGCUGUAUCCCUCAAAUACGUACAAGUUAAUGCUUACCUCAGGGCCUUUGCAAAUUUCAUGUGCUCUAUACAGAAACUUCAAACCUUUGCCUGGUUCUCUCCGUUCUCUCAGGAAUCACAUCAGAGGUUCUGUCUCGGAGAGAACUAUCCUGGUCACCUGACCAGAAGGGCACACACACACACACACACACACACACACACACACACCGUCAUUUCCACUUGCUUGAUUUUCCUUUGGAGCAGGUUUGGUUUGAGUCUCCCUCUAUGAUACAGGUUCCAAGCAAGCAGCCACUUGGUAUUUCCUCAUACCCGCUCCCUCUGUCAGCACGUACUUCUUUUUCUUGUUAAUCAGAAACUGGCAUUCCUACCAAUCAGGGGAAUUUGCAAAAGAGAUUGCCUUUCCCUGAGCCAAAGAGCUGAGGCACAGGAUUUCAGUUCAUAGUCUUCUUAGACAUAUGUAGCUAGACUGUGGAUCCUCCCAAGCAUGGCAAUACAGUAGGUGCUCAGUGAUUACUGGUUGAGUCACAGAGAGCAAUUAAGGUCAUGACAGGAGGGGAACUAUUCAGAGUCUCUGUCUUUCCCACCCCCUCUUGCAGCUCCCUGGAGGAUUCUGCAGGAAAUUGGAUUUGAGCUUUUUCUCCUGUCUUACCAUAGUCACUUGUGGAUCAAAGCAGCCAGGCUGCCCCCAGUGGGGACUCUAUCCAGAGAACCCAGCUUUAAUCCUAGGACUCUUUGAUCACCGUCUACAAUGUGGGCUGCACCAGGCAGGGAGAGGGCUCCUGGGGCUUUAUCCUACUCACAGAGACAAUGCCAUUUCCUGAGAAAAGCUGAGCUGGUCGCUGAAAUUGAACAAGCAAUGUUGCUUUCAGACUGUGCCUUCCUGCCAGGGCUGUUUGGGGCGUUAAAUGAGAUAAUGUACUUAAAGGGCUGACUGCGGUGCCUGGUCUAAUGGAAGCGCUAGUGACAGCGGGUGAAGUGAAAGCUCCAUACCAGAUGGAAGCCGAAGAUGGAUGAGCAGCAUUUCAGCUACAGGGCAGACCCUCUGCUCUGACCUGCACCUCUCUGAUCUAACCCAUCACUGUCCUCAUUCAUUCCACACCAGCCCCAGACACCUUUCUCCUAGUCCUCGCGUGCCCUCUGCUCACCCCAGCCCUGAGACCUUUAUGCUGGCUGUUGCUGCUGCCGGCGGUUUCCCCAGCUCUCCCUCCUAUUGCUGACUCCUGCUCAUCCUGCAGGUCUCUGACGGUCAUUUCUUCACAGGGUCCCUUUUAAAAGCAAGCGCUCCAUGCUCUCUAACUUCCUACGUUUUCUUCAUUGUGCAUGUCCCUUUUCCUUGCCAUAGUCUAAUCUGUGUGCUGAUUUACUUGUUCACGAUUGGGCUUCUCCAAAUAGAUUCUCAGCUGCGCUGGGCAGCUGUCUUGUCUGCUCAUUCCCCGCCGUAGCCUUACGUUGUGGAACAUUUGUGCCUGAUACAUGCAAAAGGAUGAAAAUGUGUAUUUGAUGAAUGGCAAGUAUCUCUUCUCUUCUCUGUAUUUUUCUGUCCUUUUUUUUUUUCAAGCUGCAUAAUCUCUGCCUCACCCUUCAGUUUUCCAUCUUGUCAUUGACCACAAGAAGGGUCAACCAGAAGAGAAGUGACAGGAACAACACUUCAGCUUUCCUGAUGAGGAUAUAAAACCUUUCCUGUUGGAAGUCCACCUUGGUUUCUUAGGGGCUCUUGUGGCUGGCCUCCUCUGUCAAGAACUGUACUUGUGGGCAUGUCUAGCCAAACCCUGAGCUGAGCAGUGUGAGGAGUAAGAACGAUUCCAGUGCUGUAGUUUCCAAGCUGGAGAGAAAGAGGUUGCCUUGAGCAAAACCAAAACCUGAAAAGCUGUAUGUAUUGGCUUUCUGUGUCUCCUGCCAGCCUGAUUCUUCCUCUUUCUCCUGUCUUCAGGGAUCACCACGCACAGCUGACACUUUCUCAAAGAAGCCUGAUCUCCUUGAGCAGAACAAGCUCCUCGUUUUAUGACCUCUUAGCAAUACCUUAGAAUACCUUUCCUUACGGUACAGUACUUACUGUAUUUACAGUUGCUAGGUUAUUGAUGGAGAUCACUGGGCUACAAGUCCCAUGAAGACAUAAACUAUGUGUAGUUCUUGGUACUUUUUGAUCUUUUUUCAUAGACUUUAUUUUUUAGAAGCAAUCUUCAAGUUAUGGCCCAGUUGAGCAGAAGGCACUGAGUACUGACCUCUGUCCUGCACAUGCACAGCCUCUCCCACUGCCAGCAACCCUUAGCAGAGGGGUACAUUGUGAAACUGAUGGAUCUGCAUUGACACAUGGUUAUCGCCCAAAGGCCAUUGUCUGCCUUAGGUUCCACUCUUGAUGGAAGUUGUGUAGCUCAGACAGAUGCACCCAAUGUUACAGAAUUAUACGGAUUAGUUUCGCUGCCUGAAAAACCUUUUGUGCUCCACCUGUUUACCCCUCCUCCCUCCAGCUCAUCUUUUUACUGUCUCCAUAGUUUGCUCUUUACAGAACGACCUAUAGUAUGCGGCCUCUUCAGAUUGGCUUCUCUCACUUAGCAAUGUGUACAUCAGCUCUUCAGUGUCCACAUCCGUGUGUGUAUGUGUGUGUGUGUGUGUGUGUGUGUGUGUGUGUAGUGUUGGGGUCCAACUCAGGGCUUCUGCCACCAAACUAUACCACUCAGUCCCUUCUAUGUAUUUCCCUGGUUUUAUAACUUAUUUCUUUUUACUGCUGAGCAAUGUUGUUUUGUCUAGAUGUGCUACAGUUUAUCCAUUCACCUACUAAAGAAUACCUUGGUUAUUUCCAAGUGAGGUAAUCACCUAAGAGCUCAAUUAGUUAAUAUGGUGGGGUAUUUUUUUUUUUUUUUGCAAAACUGCAAAAAUUGCCAAAGUAUAAAGUAUGAAGUGUAAAAUGCCUCAUUUUGUACUCCUAUCAAUAGUGAAUGAUAGAAAAAUUGUGGAUCUGAAAUUUCAGUACCUCCAUUUAUCAACCUUAAUGAGUCCGGACUUUGUCCCUAAUUUCUUGUAUGACCCUAGAAGUCACUCAGAUUGUCUGAGUCACAGAUUUAGUGUGUACAGGUCCAUAAAUGUAUAUGCUAGCAGGAAUUGGAGAUGUACCACUAACUGUGGUUUCAUUUAAUAAAGCAUUUGUAUCACAUGCGCUCUGAAGUCUUUUUCAAUUCUACAGUUCUGCCAAAGGGACUGGGGAAGAUAGGCAGUUGUCGAAUACCACUCGAGGAGGUUCAAUCUACUGUCUGCAUUUCAGCUCCUAGUUUGAGUAAUAAUACAGUUUCCAGGAGGUCUGUCUGAAAUGACCUCUAGAUAGGAAACUGCCUGUCUCCCUUUUGGAAAUGCCAAUUAAGCCAACCAAUUCCGCCAACCGUAAAGGAAUUCUAUUGAAUCAAGGCAGUGAAUGUGGAAGAUGUCUCAUGUAGCAUAACUUUAGAAAGGGCAGAAGAGAAGGCUACAAUCUCAAAGUAGAAAUAGAUCAUGUCAUUGGGUGGGUGCAUCUCAGACAAAGCAUCCACUGGUAGGUCAGAUGCAGAUGCUAGGUGCGUAGGGAGCCUUCCUCCUGGCACUGUCAUGAGGAGAUCAGAGCUUGGGGAAUGAGGGCAUUAUUUCCUGUUUAAUUCCUUACCUGUGUGGGUUAGCUUUUCACCUCUGUGACUAAAUGCCAAAUGUAGUGACAAAGAGGAGACUAAACACCAAGAAUGAUGCCAAAGGAGGAAAGGCUGUUUUGGCCUACAGUGUCAGAGGUUUCAAUUGGUCAUCAGCUGGAUCCACUGCUUUAGGCCUGUGGCAAGACACAAGCACAAGCCAGGAUCUGGGAAGUGGGAAGCUGCUUGUUCCUGGCAGCCAAAAAACCAAAAAGGUGAGUGAGCCAGAGAGGAAGGAGUCAGGGAACAGAUGUAGUCCUUAGGGUUCCACUCCUAUGAUGCACACCCUUCUCUUUUUAUAACCUCCCAGUAUCAAAUUAUGAUACAGUCACCUUCCAAAGCCCAUCCUCUGAACACAAGAGUAGGGAGGGGUUAGAUCUAAACUAGAGCAUCUUUAUUUUUGUACAAAACACUGAAAGGUAGUGAGAUGUAGGACACAGUGUCUCCUUUCCAUGCACAUCUCCAUAAAAUACAGAUUGACUACUCUAACCCAGGGUUCCCAACCUAGUUAGUCGAUUACAGAGUUGCCUGGAAACCUUUACACAUUCUGGUGGCUCUGCAGGGACCCAGACCGAUCAGUCAGAAUCUCUGGGAGUAGACUAGGCUGUCCCUCAGUGCCUCCUCGGUGUUGCCAAGUUUGAGAAUCACUGCUCACUGGCUUCCGGGGUUCUCAAACCCUGCAAAGCUUUUUCAUCCACUUAGUAGGUCAGCUGGUGUUCCACUAGGUGGCACCUUCCAGCACACUUCAGUGCAUCCAGAGAGGGCUUGUCUAGGUCUAACUGCAAGGAAUGACUCCAUAAAGCAAGAUCUAGAGUCUUUGCUGACGAGGAGUCUGUGGUCUGGAUGAGGAUACUGAAGCUUGUCCGCUAACAGAUUGUGAGCAAGGGCUGGAGUACAGAAUGCUGAGAUUCCUUGCUGUUGGGAGACAGCCUGGAGAGGAGGCAGCGGGGUUCUGACUCAUGGCUCACACUCACCCAAGCAUUCUGGGCUCUUGCUUCCCAACCUAUCCCGCAGGAACCUCGAAACCCAUCUCAAAAGCACCCUUUACUGUAUUUAAAACACCCUGAUUGUCUUAGGGACUUACACUUCUUCAUCUCAGCCAGGAAGCUGGGUUAGAACUGACCCCUCCCUCAAUUGCUGGUUCAGCCAAUUAGAGCACAGUAUCCGCUUCCACAACAGUGAUUGGCCCAGCGUUGAGUACCCGCUCUCUGGAAGUCCAGUCUGCAAUGAGGUGGUUUCUGUGGUUUUAAAAUGUAGAGUCCACCAAGGAGACUGUGGAACCUCCGCCAUGAUAUGAGCCCCUCUCUGAGGAGUAUACCAGACAUCCUGCCUUUGCUGCUAUUCUCUUUUCAAAGAAGUGAUAUUUGACCUAUGGACCUUUUUGUCUGUACUUUUAUGUUGGGUUUAACUCUGCCAAGGCAGGAUUUCAGGUAGGAGGAGAAGAUCUGCUUCAGGGCUUCUUUCCCCAGCAUUCUUACUGGGACUUGAUUACUAAGGGCCACAGCUCCUGCCAUGCAACCUUUUGGGAGACAACCCUCCCUCUUGGGGUUCUUCCCUUCCUUGAGUAGACCUGGGGCCAGGCAGUACACGUUGUCUCUAGACCCAGGACAUUGUACUGUCGCUGUGGUCAUCCCGUAGCCUGUCCCAUGGUUCUGGCAAACCGUUCUCAAGUUUUCCAGCAUGAGUGUCAUCCGUUUCCUGCCAAGACCCUAACUUCGUCAAGGUGAAGCUUCCUGAGACCAUCACUACAGCGGGAAAUGAGCUGAGAGAUCACCCAGUUCCCCAAGCCAAGCCCUGAUGUCAUCCGCGCUUCUACUUUGACUGACCUCCCACACUGAAACAAUUACCUAAUAACGCUGCUUUUAUUGCCUAAUAAAUUUUAAACAUAUUCCUUCCCCUCUAGGCCUACUUCAUGGAAUGUAUUUCAAAUGCCUGCAAGAAUCCUUUAGCAGAUCCUGGUACAUCAAAUGGCUAAGUUCUCUACCUUAGGGACCACUUCCACCCUGUCUAAGGUCCUUGACCUGUAACUUAUCUGACUCGAUUCCAAAGGAUGAGCUGAGCCACUCAGACUUUCUCAGCAAUGGGAAGGGAAGAAGGCAGCAGUGUCCACAUGUCAUCUCUCUGAGUCCUCACCAAAAGCCUGUGAGUAGGAUCUAGUAUUAUUUCCAGUGUUCAGAAAAGGAAACUGAACUAUGCCAGUCCUUACACUGAGUUCUUUAUGUGCAUCACCUUGCUGAUUCAUUGAGUCGUAGAUUCAAAGGAUGCUCAUUAAGAACCUACUGAGCAUCAAACUACCACACACCAGGCACUAUAGCAGAUGCUAGGGAUUUGGUGGUGGACAAACAGAUGGACGGCAGUCUCAGAGGGCUGCUAGUCUGGUGAUGGAAAGGGCAUUGUAAAAGUGAACACAUGAAUAACAAUUGUUUUAGGAGGAAGGAGAGAAAUCUGCACAGCUGUUUUGGGCAGAUCUAGUAUGUGAACCCAAUGCUGUUCCAGUCAAAUUCAAUAGUCAGUGAAGUUCCAUGAUUAGGACUUCCCUAGACUGUUCUAGUGAGGUGCUGGGUUUGUCAGUGACAUUGUCAGCAGCCCUGCUUGUCCCUGGGGCAGGUUCCUGCCACUUACUGAAUAUGCAAAUGCAUGCACACACGUGUACAAUCAGAAAGGAGAGAUGUCCCAUGUCCUUCCCUACAGGGCUUGCCAGUGAAGGCCAGUGCAGUAGGUUUUGAAAGUGCUAUUCUGUGGGGCUGGGGAUUUAGCUCAGUGGCAUAAGAACCUGCCUUGCAAGCAGGUGGUCAUGAGUUCGAUCCCCAGUACCAUUAAAAAAGAAAGUGCUAUUUUCAGUUGUGGAAUUCUAGUUUGAAGAUCACUUUUGCUCUUAUUACUUGUUAUGGCUUAGAUCUAGAAUGGCCUUCAAAACUCUCAGGUGCUCAGAGACAGGUUUUUUGAACAGUGAUUAGAUCAUAGGCCACUAUAUUUGCCAGUGGACUCAUCCAUUAAAGAGCUCACAGCUGUUUGUGCUGUCAGGAGGUCCUAAUUAGAGGUGGGGCUCUGGGCCAGUGACCUGGAAGGGUACACCUCCUUUCCAGCUCCUCCUUCACUGUCUGCUUCCUGGAUGCCAUGAUGAGAGCAGCUUUCCUCCACCAGACCCUUCCGCCAGGCCCUUCCUGCCUCAGAGCCAGCUGACUAUGGACUGAAUCCUCUAAAAUCUGUGAGCCGAAAUAUACCUCUCCUCCCUUAAAUUGUAGGUGUCAAGUAUGGUGUCUCAGUAACAAGGAAAGUCACUAUGUGAUUAAUCCUGGAGAUUACUACAUUUAAAUGCAGAAAAAUUGCCUUUUUUUUCCAAAUGCAAAAUACUCUAUGAUGCUGUUGAAUCUCAUAUGAAUGGACACUUGGAGUUAUUAUCAGUCUUGGUGCCAUUGACACCAUAAUGAAUAUGUCUGUGCACAUCUUGUUCUAUAGUGUGACGGGGAUUUUCAGCAGAGAUUCCUAGAUGUUCAAAGUGCUGGAUCAAAGGAUAAACACAGCUUUAGUUGUGAAAGUUUUUGCCAAAUUUUUUGACUGUAGGAAUGAAAUUCUUUUACAUCCCUACCAGCAGUGGAGGAGAGUACUUCGUUCUUUAGAGUCUACACCCACAAAAUAUUUUUAAAGCAUUUAUUUUUUAGCAAAAUCUACAUUCCCAACUUGCUUUAAACAUUGCAAGAUCUAGGCAACUCUGGGCCCAUUUUCUGCAUGGCCAAUACAGGCUGGGGCUUAGGGUCACUGGUAACUGGGGUGAAUAGUCACUACAGUCCCAUGGAUUUUAGAGGUUUCAUCCUAUGUUAUGAAGAUGAGGAGACUCCACAAGUUCAUAAAGGAUGCCAAGUGGGAGCAGAACCCAACUGCCUCUCAGUCUACUCCACCAUGGGGCUUCCAAAAUAAGUACAAAGGGACUGAUAACAAGGUAAGUAUGCAAAAGCCCUACAAUUCAGCAUUAAAAUUGAGUUGUUUUCAGCAUUUACUUAACUCACUAUAUACAUUACACCACCGCCUCGUUGAUUAAACUGUGACUAAUACACACAGAGCAGAGUGACAAAUUGGUUUCUAUUUCUCCUGAGCAACCCAGACAGCAGGCUAGAGUCACAACAGAGUGAAUGUGCUCAUUCAUUUCCCUCAUUCAUCAAACCCAACUGAACGCUAGGCCUUGAUCUAGGCACUAGGGUUUCAAAGAUGAACAAACAUUUGACCAGCCAGGGAUCUGAAGACACAAAACUUCCCACACUGUUCUAAUUGUUUUGUUGGUGGAAUGUGCAGGCUAUGUGGGAGCCUGAGGGAGGAAUUUCUAAUUCUGCUAAGGGUCACGUGGAGGGCAUCACAAGGGAGAUGAUGUUUAGAUGAGUUUUGAAAGAGUUUGCAAAGAAAAAGAAGGGAAUGUGGGAAAGAAUUUCUGGAAGAUAAACAAUAUUCAAGGGCAAGAUUAUUUCUCAAAAAAGUGACAGAAAACCAGCUCAAAAAAGAUUCGGCAAUAAAGAACAAAAAUGUGGAAGAAAUUAAUUAUGUUAGUUAGCUGAGAAGUUCAGCAUCGAUCUUCCUUCAGGUAUGGUGUACUCCAGGUAUUUAAAGGGCAUCAUCAAGCCAGAGAAGCUCUAUAAGCUGCUUCCUCUUUCUGCUCUUGCCCGCAGGCAGCCUAUUCCCUCCUGAUCACAAUGUAUCCACCAGCUGCUCCUUAGUUACAUCAUCCUGACAGCUACGCUAUGCCAGAGAAAGCUUGGCUUUUCCUUCCCAAUAGCCUGGCCAAGAAUCUCACACUGUAUCUCACUGGCUAGGUCCAGUUCACUUGUUCACAUCUAGAGUGCUAGGUUAGCUGGAGGAAGGCCUGAGAAUGGGGGAGAAUGAAUCUCAAAGGAAAAUCAGAGUCCGGUGUCCAGAGGACGAGUGGCUGUACACUGGGGAGGCAAGCCAUCAGGUCUGGAAGCAAUGGCAGAUCAAGAGUACAUCUCAUGUGAUAUGGAGGAGUGUGUACUAGUGGGUUGUACACUAGACCUGAGCAGAAGACAAUAGCUCCAGUUUCAUAGAGCGCUAAAAACUGAGCAAGAAGAAGCAGGCACUAAAGUUCAAGUCUUUUAGCACAACUUCAUGUCUUUACUGAGGAGGAAAUUAAGACUUAGGAAAAGAAAGUGACUCUCUUUUCUUGUAGUCACACAGCCUGAAAACCAGAGUCCGGAAGAAGCCCUGGUGCCCUGAGCCUUGGGACCCUCAGGCAGUGAGCAGUCUUCCUCUGUAGAGGUCCCGAAGGAGGAUGUGUGCUUUUCUAGGAGCCCCUGGGGUCCCUCCCACGAGGGCAGAAGCCACAGCCUGCAGACUUAGAUAGCCCUGGCCUCGGCAUCCUGAUGGCAUGAUAACAGACUCCUGGGCCCAAGGACCCAAGGACACCAAACCCUACUGUGAGCCAUUAAGAGUGAGUAACCAUUAAAGCAGAAAACAGGGAACAAGGAAUGGUGGUGAAGGAUGUAUACAGCAGAGAGAAGAGGGGGGAGGGGAGGUGGUGGGCAAAAGAGUUCAUUCAGGGACAGGGUUUCUAAUCACUCAGUUUGUAUAUGUAUUUUUAAGUUGUAUUUUUAGUAAUGUGAUGCACCCAUAUGGUUAAAAAUUAAAUAAUUCAGACAGCUUAUUCUAAAAGGCACACUCCUCAUUCUCAUCUCCAGAGACCACUGUUUUUCUUCAGCCUUGGCUAGCAUGUAUUGAAUACACUGGUUACAAGCCAAUCCCUCUGCUAACCCUUGAUGACACUGCUUCCUUGAGCUCACAAGGACGCCCUCGGGUAGGGACCAUUACCACCUUCAUUUUACAGAUGGCGUAACUAAGGCAUAGAUUGGUUAAGUGGUCAGUCCAUCUCACACAACUGAAGAGCAGCAGAAAGAAGACUGCAGCUCUGGAUGCCUGACUCCAGAGCCUGGGGUGCGCUUAAUCAUCACACUCUGGUGGUUUCUGUUAAAGAUUUAUUACCUCUACUCCUUGAUUUAUUAACAAUAGAUAUUAUCUAUUGGCUUCCUCAUAUGAUUGAUGAGGGUUUAUCUCACUGACUCCCCCUGCGAUCUGCCCACCGGUUCUAGACAGAUACGUGGCAAUAUUUAUUCCUGUUGUGGGUGCCUUUGGGAUUUUAAAUAAUGCAUUCAAGCCUCAAUUCCAUGCUUCUGCUCUACAAGCGAUGGUUGGCUGCUUAUGCAGUCACCUGUAAGGUGGAUGGUGCAAAAGCCAUCCCAUAUUUUCUUGUUAUCCAUCCCCCAUCCACCAUACCACCCAGCUCUGUGCCCAGCACACAUCAGGUGUUUGGUGACUAUUUAGACCACAGAACAAAUGCAGAAAAACUCCAUAUGAAAGGUGGCAGAAAACUGGGAAUCUGCGGCAGGUGAAAGGUACCGUAAUCACAGCCUGUGAUGUAUGUCAGCCUGACUUCUUCAGAGACACAGCCUUGCCCAAAGGAGAAAAGAGGCAGCUAUAAAAUGGAAAUUGAAGGAGAAUCACUUCAGAGCAGCUGUCAGGAAGCACUUCCCCCAGUGGAGACAGCGGAUGUGUGGAAUGACCUCUCUACAAGGUUGUCUCAGCUCAGCGGCUGGGCUGGUCUUGCUGGCCUGCCAGGAAGCCACCAGGGAACCCACUCUACUCCAUGAAGACGUCUGAGUAGCUCCCCUUGUGUAGGAGGUCUUCAUCCUUCGUUUUCAUCUCCAUUCCUUGCUCCCUGUUACUCACUCUUAAUGGUUACUCACUCUUACUGGCUCCAGGUAGGUUUGGUGUCCUUGAGUCCUCAGGCCCAGGAUUCUGUUAUGAUGCUAUCAGGAUGCUGAGGCAAGUAUCAGGCACGCAGCUGGGAUAUCUAAGACAGUGUGGCAUCUAAGCCUGCAGGCUGUGGUACCUGCCCCUGAUGAGGGAUUCCCCAGGAAAGGCCCACAACCCCCUUUGGAAUGUUCUGGUAGCAACAGAUCCCAAGUAGGCUCUGGAAGCCAUGUCAGGGACUCCUACCCAGGGAGGCUCCUCCUGUGGGCUGGCAGUCUAAGCCCACAACCUAUGAAGAAAGAGUCAAGUGUCUGGGGAUCUUAUGGGCUCUGUGCCCUCUACCUGUGUUACCUACCACCAACUUGGCUCCCACUUGUUGAGGUAAUUCUUCCUGUCUUGUGCCUCUUAGGCCAGGCAACAUGAUCUUGGGAAUUUUCAACCCCUCUCCCUCACCAAGGUGGUCAUAUCCUUAAUUACCUACUAAGCAUUUACCCUUUAUUAAACUUAGCACAAUUGUUAUUUUACAUUCAAUCCAUCUCUACUCCUAAGAAGUUGGCCUCACCCAUCAAACCGGAAGUUCCAUGAAGACAGGACCCAGCUUUGGCUUGAUCCACCCAGCACAGCAGCCAGCAAGCAUCUUAAAUGAAUGAAGGCAUGAAUGAGUGAGUUUUGAUGACAGUGUUUAGUUCAAGGUUUCAUUUGCGUGAGGCUUAGUCUCCUCUAAGUAUAGAAUCUUCUUUCUAUCUAGAAAAGAAGGGGAGCUUUCUGACCCUGAGGUCCAAGUCCAGUCUCAUGACUCACCUUCUGAAAAUGCAGUGACUGGCCUCCCUGACUUUGACUUACAGACUCCUGGGGACGUGUCCUGCCCCAGCACAUGCUCUCUCCUCCCUGCCUCCUGUCUCAUCCUCCUCUGUCAGCGUUACCAAGCCCUGCCUCUUCACCUCUACCUCAGUGGUCCUGAGCCCUACCUGCAGCUAGCUGUUCAAGCAUACAAACAUGUGAGUUUCCAAGUUGGGGCUUCCGAUGGUUAUCUGGGCAAGGAAUUUAAAAAAUUCCCCUAGUGAUUCUGAUGUGGGGCCUCUCCCCAAACUGAUCUCAAAGAUGUCUCCUGCCCUCUCAGCCUGCUUCCCUACUCCAUUCAUCCUCCACCUCUUCUCCCCGACCAGAGAAAUCUCCUCCCUCUAUCCUGGGGGGCUCCAGCCUUGGGCUUUAAUCUAUAGCCAGAACAGCCUUCCAGAAUGAUCAUGCUAGAAGGAAAGUCUAAACUCUGCAGCUUAAAACUUCCCUAUCUUUGGGAGAAACCCAAGAUUCUCAGAGAGCUUCAAAAUUUCCUGUUCACUUCAGGACCUUCCCGUGUGGUUCUGUGGGUACAAUGGGAGCCAUACUCAGAUCCUUAAAGGACCCAGGCCUCUUUCUCUCCUUCCUCCAGGGCUCUGCACAACUACUCCUUUGUCCAUUGCUAUAAAUAAAUAUAUAAAUAUUUGGACAUUUGUUAAAAUGGAAAGGAAGACUUCUCAGGGCUGUUGCCAAAGGGGUACUGCAAUAGGAAAGAAAUAUGAGAUUCAACUGCCAAUACCACAAAGAUGGCCAAGGAGCAGAGGGAGGGGUCAGUGGACAGAAAAGAGAAGACUCAGGGUCAGGGGACCCCUGCAAGGGCAGGACAUCGAAGAAGAGGGAUGAGGAAUUUGAUCAGAUAAAGAAGGUGACCAGAUUUCAGGUGGGAGGGGAAACUUAGCAGGAUUCUUUCUGCAGUGACUGGGCGAACUGAAGACAAGAUGGUGUCUCACAGCAGAGGCCUACUAGUGAAGAGGACUCAGAGGAGCCUUACUAAAGAGACUUAGGGACCAAGGACAUUUCACUGGGCUGCUCUGGGAGUCCUCUGAUGCUCUUCCAGUCCAUGGGCUCUUAGCAUUCAUCCCAUCUUUUUGCAGUGCUCUGUGACUUACCUGCUCCCAUGAUUGGCUGGGAGCAAUUUAAGGUCAGAGACCAUAUAGUGGCUCCUUCUUGGGUACCACCAUGUGUGGUCCUCAGUAUGGGUGUUGAAUGAGCAUAGGUUGAUGAACAUGGGUCUCAUGGAAUGGCUGCUCCUUUCUGAAGCAACCAGUGAUUGCACUGCCUGUAUCAGCAGUGACCAGAAUUCACUGUGAUCAGAAUCAUUGGGUGGGCCUGGUCACCACAGAUAGCUGGGCUCCUCUUCCAGGUUCUGACUCAGUAGAGUGGACAGGGGCCUGAGAAUGUGCCUGCCUAACCACAGUGAUGUCCGUGUUCUUCUCAGAUUGCACUAUGGUAGUCAUGGACUUACGGGAUGAUGGUAGACAUCAUCUUCAAGUGGCAUGAGUUGUAAUGUUUUUGUUUUGUUUUGUUUUGUUUUGUUUUUUACAUUAAAAGAUAGCAAGAUUUAACAAGCAACUUGAAGGUAGUAAAGUAGCUAUGACCUCCUGACUGGGUUCCCUUCUUCUCUGCCUACGUACCUGGUUCUCCUGCUCUCUGACUUGCAGGCUGGCACAAGGGCUGCAGACUUUACUUCCUUUUCCCUGCUUCGUUGGCAGUGGGAGGGGCUGCUUCCUAGCGCCCUCUGCCAGGUUUAAUGCUAGCCUGAGAGCAAUCACUGAAUCCUGAGUACGCUCCCAUUUCUGCUCUCACAAUUAGCUGCUAGUGCAAUAGAUUCAGGGGGCAGCGGACAGCCACACAGGGGCAUGGCUGCAGCAUGCAGACCAACACCGAGCUCCCAGAAAUGACUGUGUCCAGGCUGCAGUGGGCCAAGGUGUGGCUAUUUGCAGGGGAUGUGGACAGAGCUAGAAUUUGCAGGGUGUGGCAUUCACACAGCUUCAUGUCAGCCUUUCAGGGUGUGAUGCAUAGUUGGGGGUGGAAAGAGAAGGGGGCCAGGGCAGGGGCCAGUUCUCUCUGUUUGGCAAGUUUCAGAGAGGAGCACUUGCUCCUCACCCUUCUGAGCCUUGAAGAAAGACUAUUUGUCAUGAUAGGACAGGUAUUAUUUACCUGCUUUACAGUGUAAUUUCUGACUGUUCAUAGACAAGGUAGUUAGUCCUCAGAUUAUACUCGGCACAGGCUCUGCAAAUGCUUGGGGUGGGCUUCACUGUCGGAGUAAUCUGGAGAAGUGAACACCCUGGGAAAGCAAGACUGCUCCCACAGGGUCUUUGAUGUCCCCAAGUUGAGAAGCACAACUUCGAGUACUCCUCAGGGGCACCAAGAGGGACUUCUCUAUUUCCUGGAGGUAGAGACUAAGAACUAGUCCCAGUCAAAUGACAGCGACUUUACACACCCUUUUUUGGUAUAAAGAAAGAGGCUGGGACCUUGGGAAGUUCAUGCUUAGGGUUCCCAGCCAGUUGUCAGGCAGUGGUCAGGGCAUAGGGUAGAGAAAGCUUGGGUGGGUCACUUCCCAGGUGUAUUUGUCUGGCCAACCCAUACCAGUUCUCUGGUCUCAGUUUCCUCAUUUGUUAAAUAGAGAUAAUAGCAGCACCAACACCUCUAGCAAAGCCUCUAGUACUGAUAGUACCGGCAGAUAUUUAGUAAAUGAUAACUGCUGUUUUUUUGGUCACUAGGCUAAUUCAUCCUGUCUAAUGUGGCUUCUCCUAGUCAGCUCCACAAGCUCAACAAGUUGGACCAGUUUGUCUUCCAGUCACUGUCUGCCCUUUGGACAUCCCUGCCUUGCUUGUGAGCAUCCUUCUCACUGGUCACAGAACCCACCACUCUUAUCUCGGGCUAUCCUCCACUGACAGGGAGAUUCCUGGCCCCCAACUCAGAGAUUCAGAUCCAGAUGUGAAGAUUGAUCCACCAGAGCUGACGCCACACGUCCCAGGUUACACAGCUCAUUUCAGUGCACAAGGGCACUGGAGCCCAGCCAGACUGGUUCUCUGGCUUGCGUCCUGAUGUACUCCAGCCCCUGCAGAAAAGCACUGCUUUACACUUCAGCCUCAAGACUGCUGAGUCGGCAGGUAUCUUGGAUUCUUCACCCUUUUCUGAGGUUGCUGAGUGGCUUUUGCUUCCCUGCUUCCUUUGUGGAACUGGGAGAACCACAGAACGUGCCCAUAAUUGCCAAGGAUUGUCCUUCUUGAGGAGCACAUUCCCCAAACAUUCCUUCCUCCUUCCCUGGUCUAGAGAUGAAAUAACCUACAGGCAUCUCUCCAGACAGAAAGGAAAACGAAGGAGAAGGCAGUGCAUAUGACUUAGAAGAACACAAAAACCACCGGGCUCGGUGUACUCAGGCUGGAAAGCAGAUUCCAGGAACAAUGUGUCUGUCUGCUUCACUAAUUAUUGUGCAAGUGCUCGGCAUUUUAUUCGACUCCGAAACUCAUAAAGGAGCUGCAAAGAGACAGGUCCUCUGGAGACUGUUUUAUCAAAGGAGACUUGAGAAGAAAUAAAGUUUCAAGAUAAAACUGAGUUCCUAAUGGAAUCAGCACAAAUUUUUAAAAAAAAUUCUUAGAAGGGGUUUGUGAAACCGCACGAAAACAUUUUGGUUAUGCAGAAUGAAAGAGUGCAGAGGCGGAGACCCAGACACCGGGCAGGGCAUCUCUGCGCUGUCGCUGAUAGCUGUGAUUGGAGAGAUGAAGUUGUUGGAAUCACAAACCCCCAGCUUGGAGAAAAACAUGGAACUUCUGUUCUAUUCUUUUCAUUUACUUAACUCAUUUACCUUGAAUUCGACUUACCUGUUUAUUCACUUUCCAGUAAAUAAUGAUCAGUCACCUACGCCGCAUUAGCCACUGCACUGCACACUGCGGGUGCAAUAGAACACAUGGCGUGGUCCCUCCUCCCCCUCUGCGCUCGAGCCCCGUGUUUUCAAGCCCCCUGUUUUCGACUUACCAGCAACUGUCUAUUCCUGCUGGCUCCCCAGCCCCAGGCUCCACUUUAUAUUCCCAUAAAAUAAUUCGGAGCCUGCCUGGGUACUCAGCCCACUUGCACUGAGAAGUGAGUUGAUUUGGGAAGCUCGAUUCUAGACCUUUUUCUGCCUCCUAUUCUCCACAUGAUCCUGGAAAAGAAAACCGCAUGCAGGCAUGGGAGGCCCUGUGCUCAGGAAAGACUCUCCCCGUCUCACUGCCCAACCUCCAUAAUGUGUUUCUAGCUUGUACUCGAAAACUGUGUGUCCGUGAGCAAGAUCCGAGCAAGAUCCUUAAUCACUCUGUUCCUUAGUUUCCUAAAACACCAUAAUGGAAGUUUUCAUCAAGAAAAAUAUAUAGGUGACAUACUCAGUAUAGUGUCAAGUAUAUAAUAAGCACUAUUACAGAGAGCUGUGGGGCAUUUUUCGUAGUAUUGAUCACUCCCAUUGCUAUAUAUUUAAGUGGGUAUUACAUUUAUGUCUGCCUCCCCACACUGGUUUAUAAACUCCAUAAGAGCUGUCGCACCUGUUGCUGUAUUCCCAGCACCCACGUCAACGGCUGGCGUAUAAUAGGAGCUCAAUCACUGUUUGUUUAAUGAGUUAAUGAAUGAAUGAGUCGCCUCCCCCACCCAUGUCAGAAGAAUCUGAAGGGAUGCCAGAGCAUCUGUUCCCCGAGGUUUUUUCAAACGAGCUCCAACAGCUGUUUGUGCUAGAAGCCACCAUAAAAAGCAUCCUUAAAAGCAAAAGGGAAAGAACAGCAGUAACAGAGAGAUCUAUGGCCCAGCUGGGAUCCUGGAUGUAUGGCUGCAGCAAAACUCAGGGGAGGCCAAGGGGAAAGACAGGCAGGUAGAUGUACGGGCUGCAGAAAGGGAGACAGGCGUGGUUUUAAAUCAGAGGCAGAGAGAGCUGCUGAGCGAGAGAGACCCUCAGAAAGGCGGAGACAGACAGCGAGGGACUGUCUGUGGUUGACAAAGACAAAGAUGAAGCCAGAGAGAGAAAGGAGGGAAGACAAGUGUUUGAACUGGCAGCUAAUUCCCCAAAUCCUUGAGGGUUUUUCAGAGAUAGAGAGUAAUGUGGGCUUCAGCCUUGGCUGCCUGAUUGAUGACCAGUGAGCCCUGAGCCACCACUGAGCUAAGCACGUUAGGCGGCUGUGUGGCCUGGGACUUCUCAAAGUCCUGCUGGAGGCUUCCCCAGGGUGGAUCACUGCGUGGAGAGGCGCAUUGCACCGACAGGAUGGAACGGCUCUCAGUUAGGGAAAUCUUGGGGUGGAGGGCCCACACCUGGGUGAUUACGCUCUGUUUCAGCUGGGAGCCACACAGAAGUUUUAACUCAACACGACGUUGGCUGGUCUUUCUUCCUUCCCCCUUUCCCUCCCUUCUGCAUUUCCUCCCUUUUUUUCUCUCCUCUCUGAUUUAUUAAGCAUGCAGAAUGUAUAAGCAACCAGGGCUGCAGAGAUUAAAUAAGACAUGAUUCUUAAGUUUUAAAGAGCACUCAGUGGCUCAGUGAAAAGGGGAGAAAAGCAGCCAACAGAACAGUAAGAGGAAAGGUGCGACAUCAUUUAUACAAACUAAAGUUUUAUUUUUAUUUGUUCACCAUACGUUCAUUGAAAGGGUACUUAGAAAAACAAAAUAGAUUAGACAGAAAUAAUAUAAAUUUGUGACGGGGUUUGCUGGGGAUGAGGUAGACAAGAAAUGAAACCUGAAAUAAUGAGACGCAAGGGAAUUUCAUAUUUUGAUGUGCAAUGUGUUGCUUAUUUUAUUAAAAAACGAGGAAAAGAAGUCUGACGAUGUUUUUGAAUGAUCAUUUUUGGACAGUAGAUGCUGUUCUUUAAGAUUUCUCAGAAUUAGAAAAAAAAAGCCUCAAGAAAUCGAGCAAUUGUUAUUCAGCUGGACAAGCUGCUUUUAUUCUUCUCUUCCACAUUAAUCCCAGAAGAUGGAAGGGGUGGCGAUGAUCAGAAUGGCACCGAAUCUCAGUCUCUGUCUCGUCUCCCUGUCCAGCUGUCCUCCGGGUCAUAUUUUGGGUAGCAAAUUAUCUGUGACUGUACCAAAUCAGCUGCUCCAUGCUAAGUAAGAUAAAAUAAGGCUCGUUCCAUGAAAUAUUUUCACCUUUUAGGAACCUCCAGGCAUUAGGAACCUGGGCAAUUUAGACAUAAAUGGGAUGAGAACUGAGAACCAAUGUGGAAAGGAAGCUUUGGGUACUCUCUUUUAAACACUCUUAUGGUAGGCAGAUAAAAUACUGAAAUACAAUAUACUAUAUGUUAUAUAAUGCCUGGCUCUUUGGAGCCAGAUGGACCAGUGAUAGGGGCUCCUUGGAUGAUCUUGGGAAAAUGACUAAAUCUCUCUGGGCUUUGGUUUCCUCAUCUGUAAAAUGAGAACAAUAAUACUUCCCAGGGUAGUUGUGAGGUUUAAAUGAGCUGGUAGAAAUCAAGUGAACAAAAAGAUCAGCUCAGCAUCCAGCAAAGUAUAUUCACAGCACUGCUUAGUCUCCUUCCUCCCAGGGCUAAGAUUUCCUCAGCUGGGCUGUAAUUCUGGUACAUGUACUAAGCAGCCCUAGUCACCGGGAUUUCCUGUCUUAAAAAUGAUGCCCCAUGGAGAAAGCAGCAGGUUAAGUGGUAAAUAUGGUGCAUCCAUUUACUUGAUAUAUUAGUAGCUUUCUUAUCACUGGGACAACAUACCUGCCACCCACAACAUGGACCUGGAGCACGAAACUAAUUGUCAUCAAGGCACAUAAAUGUGGGUCUGCCGGAUCCAUGGUUAGUCUUCAGAAUAUUUCCAUUAAUUAAUUAUUAAUAAUAAUUUUAUGAGUUUUAGUACAC